GAGGAGCCACCGGUCUGAAAUUCUGCCUGUUACUGACUCUGCCGUUCCGAGCGAGCACCUGCGUUUCACUGGCUCACGGGUCCGUCUGUCCAGGCUCUUUGCAGAGGCUGAGUCCAUUUCCACCUGGUCCCAAGGGAAAGUGGGUCCAGGCUUUCCCCUCUCUGGCGCCAUCUAGAGACAAAUGAGUAUAACGCGGGUGCCACCUGCCAACAGCAUCCUUUGGCUCUAGGGCUUUCUCAGGAAGCUGAAAGGCAAAGCUCUGAACGAUCGAGUCUCCGUCUUCUAAUUUUCCAAAACCAACUGCCUGCUGCGUCUAGUUCAGGACCUUGAGGAAGACACAUUUCAGACCACUGAGGGACUUGCUGGAUUCCCAGCAGUCGAGUCUGAAUAGCUUUGCCUGAAGACCACAUAAAGUACGCACGCUUGCUGGGACGGCAGGUCUGCAGCCAGGAAGGUCUUGCCGGCGUCCUCCGGCUCCAGUCUCUUGAUGGGCGUGGCCAUGCGGCUCGUCUGCCGAUGGACGGACGGAGUUCCGUAGGCCCCCCUCGUGGUCUCCCCACAGGGGCCGUUGCCCUGGAACGAGAGCUGAGGGCUGGAGCUGCUUUGGGUGCAGGUGCCCUGCCUCUCUGGCUAUCUGCGUCGAGUCCAGAGAUUAGAUGAACCAUGAGAAACGCAGUGGCACUGCAUGGGGGCAGUCAGAAACACGUCCUUCUCCGGCCCUUGGCAGCUGGCCGCAGAGAGAAGCAGCGAGAUGCUGUAGGAGAAGCAACGAGGGCCCUGAGGGUCAGAGCCUCACGAAACGCCCAUGAUUUUACGACAGCUGCAUCCCAGCAUGAUGUGGGCGGGAAGCCUAGCCCUGCCCCGGCUGGAGGUGCGUCACUUUCCCUGGAGGCAACCCAGAGCCGCCCAAAUAUUCCUGGGCUCUGGGAAGAGCCCACACAGAGGCUCAUGUGACAAGUGACUAACAGUUAACGUUUAUAAAUCAGACUGCUGAAUAAGCUGUGUCCUAUCCUCCUCUCCCCUACCCCUCCCACGGGACAAAUACACAUCCACAGCAAUCUGGACGGCCAGGUGAAACCAGGAUCCUGGGACUCCUGAAAGCCCUCAGGAUGAGCCGGGGGCCUUGGCCGGCAGCCCCUCCCUUUCUUCCUACACUCCAGACCACCCCUCACCCCGGGGGUCUCCUGCGCUCCCACCAGGAGGCGGCGUGCUCUCCUGUUGGCAGUCAGUAAUUCUGGGGUCACCAGAACCCAGAGGAUGAUUUACAGGGGAGAAGGGACAUGGGUCUGGCCAGAGAGGAGACCCCCUAAAGCCGAGCCCCGGGGAGGAACCCCCUUGCCUGGGUCUUCUGCUGGUACUGAGACAGUCAAGCCCAAAGGAGAGAGUUUCCAGUUGGCCCUAAAGGUUGAGUCCUGAAAGCUCCCCAGGUGGAGAGGUGGCCAAGGAAGUGGACCAACUCUAACCCAGCUGGGUUGAAACAGAUUCCCGUGAGCGAUGCCUCAGCCCUGCUACUGUAAACAGAAAAAUCUAAGCUCAGGGUGUGUGCACGUGUAUGUGAGUGUGUGUGUGUGCACGUGUGCGUGUGUGUGAUUUUUCCCCUCCCAAUACCAGGCUUGUGUCACCAGCUAGACUCUGAGCUCUGUGGCCCAGGGGACACUCAGCGCUGACCUCUGCGGUGAGCCUGCAGCCUGGUCCUGUGUGUGGCCUUGAUCAAGGCCACCUGCAGACUCUUAAAGCGAGAGGUUGACAGACACUUCUGCCCAUUUUCUGGACCCUGCUGUCUGCGGUCUCUAAAGCAGGUUGAAAAGCCUGUUAAACUGGACCUGUGGGCCUCCAGCUGCAGAAUUCCAUUUUCCUGAGUCCUUUUUUUCCUAUAGAAGCACUUUAUGAAAGAUUUUCACCCCUCACAUUUGCUGGUUUAAUUUCCAAACCACGCUGUGAUAUAAACCUAACGUCCAGCUGCUUUGGCCAGACGUGGGAGCGGAGGCCUGGGAGCUCCGAGCUUUGGAACAGGUCUGGGGCCGUCCCAGCCCACCUGCAGCCACGCCCUGCUGUGUGCCUCUCCUCGGGUAGACAUUAGCACCCGCUCAGAGACACGCUGUGCUGCUUAGAGGAAAAUUAUCUGCAAAUCUACAUGCUCACCACAGGACUUUCUAGUAGAUUCCAGACCUGCCCAGACUUCUCCCUCCUGCAGUGACGCUUCACCCUCAUACAGGUGACUCGUUCCUCUCCGGGUCCAGGAGUACCUGCUUCCCCACACGUCGAGAUAUGUCACCUGAGCCAGGUGAGGACGCACGGACACGCCGGAAGGAAGUGUCUCCGGCACCUUGCCUGCUGCAGCAGCUUUGAGCUGCCCCUCUUAGUGGGGAAAAGUGGGCCCAUUCUUGCUGUGGUGGAAGACUUUGGGGCAGAAACCCCAGAAGUGAGGAUGACCGUCAUUGCACUCAGCAAACCUGCGGCACGGCUUCAUUGCAUGAAACGUGAGCUUGUAAAGAGUGUCAAACAGCCCUUGCCCUUGGUGACCUUGCUCUGCCCUUGAUGAUAUAAUCCUCCUCUGUGCGCCUGGACUGAGAACACUUUUCACUUCACUUUAAAACUCGUGUGACAAUCAUCACCCACCCAAGAAACAGACCUUUCAUUCACACAUGGUAAAAGGGGGAAAAAAUAGAGCUCCUGGCGUUCCCGGGGGCUUUUUAACAAUGAAAGUAAUAGAAAGCUCACCUUCCUCCAGCUCUCUGGAACUAACAGAUCUAUCUGGCUAUUUGACUGUGGGAACAGCCGACCGUCAGCUCGAAUACCACGAUAAACACCAGUCACAUUCUCCUCUGCCAGCCAUCACUUGUGCAGCCUUGAGAAAUGUGUUCUCCUGGGAAGGAGAGUCCAGUGAGAACCAGAUCAUUCAAACCAGGGCCCAGUCUCCCAGUUUGAGCUUCAAAAUCGAAGCAGACCCUCUGCUUCCUGAUCCUUUCCCUGGAGUCACCAAGCAAGAGGCCAUCGUGUCCCCGCCGGGGGUUUGUAUUCUCCAGAGCUCCCACCUUCCCGGCCUGGGGCAAGAGGCAGCUCCAGAGGCUUGUCUGGGUGUAGCUGCCGCUCUGGUGGGUGAUACUUUGCUGCCACUGCCUGGGGCAGAUGCACCGCUGUGACCACCAAGCCCUGCUUCCCGGACUCCUUUGCCAACAGAAUGGCAAUUAUCUGAAAGUCUGUAGAGCAGGCUGAGUAAGAGCCUCCCACAGUGCCAGGUCCUAACCUCUGGGUCCUGUGAGUGUGACCUUAUUUGGAAAAAGCGUCUUCGCAGAUGUGAUUCAGGUAAGGAUCUUGAGAUGGGGAGAUGAUCCUGGAUUCUCUCUGGUUGUGCCCUGAAUGCCAGCGCAUUUGGCAUAAGAACGUGGCACAGCAGAUGAGACCCACGCGAGAGGAGGGGCGAUGGGACCACGGAGGCCAGGACGGGAGCGACGCGGCCACACGUGACAGAUGCCAGCGGCCUCCAGAAGCUGGAAGCAGUGAAGAAAGAUCCUCCCCUAGAGCCUCUGGGGGCAGCGUGGCCCCGCCAACAACUCGAUUUCAGCCCCAAACUGAUUGCAGAUGUCUGGCCUCCUGAACUCUGAGAGAGUAAAUUCCUGUGGUUUUAAACCCCCAAGUUUGAGGUGAGUUAUUACCUCACCAUCAGGAGAUGAAGACAGCCUCCAAACCCAGAAAGAAGUGACUUCGCAUCCUGGUUGAGAAGGAUCCCAUCUGGUCCCGACUGGCUUAUCAGAGCAAAUGGCACAAGGAAGGCAUGCAUCCACUCUUCUAGAGACCACCGUUACAUGACAAACCUGCUUAUACUCCAGAUCUGAAAGACAGAGGCACCUCACGUAAGUGUGCAAGAGAAUAUGCGCUGGGAUACCUUCCCCAAGCAUUUCCAGGGUCCCCCCAAUUUCCAAAGGGAAUCUAGAACACACACACCAGCCUCAUUGCAAAUGUUGAAAGUAUUACUACAGCUAUCAGUACAAAAGCAAGCUCUAUCCCCAGGGCCCUCAACAACCCUCCCAGUGCCCCCAUCGUGGCCAGGCCGCACCGGGGCACGGAGACGGCGCCCCUGGCUUGGAGCCCCAAAUCACGCACUGUGCCAGCCAACACACCUGCAGUUGCAAACAACAGGAAACUCGGCUCAGAUUGGAUUAACCAAACAAGGGCUGCUGUCUGAAAGAUCCAGAGUAGGAAGGCCAGGCUCCAGGGUGUCUGGAUCCAGUGCAGACCCAGUGUCGCCAAGAACCUGGUGUAUUUUCACCAGGGUCUGAUUUAUUCUCAGACCCACUUCCUUACAAUAGCGAGAUGGCAGCUAAAAUCCUGGGCGACAUUGGUUUUAUUUGUACCCUUGCGGAGAAAAAGAGCUUUUCCUUCUCCACCAACUGAACAAACACAACGGACUUCAUGGUAAUGGAAGUCUCCACCGCAGCCCAUGCCCAGUAAUCAUUCUGACCCAGGGAAGGUCCUGGCUAGUUUGCUGAGGCCUAGGUUACGGGUCCAGUCUGGAACAACCUCUGCAGUCAGGUGUGUGUGUCGAGCAUGCAGCCUUGGAGCAGGGAGGGAGACUCUUCCCACCUAAACAGUGUGGGACAUGGGGCAGGAGUGGGGCAGCUCCGUUGGCAUGGGUCUCAUGGACAGAUAGGGACCUUUCUGUUAUAAUUAGGAUCAUCACGUUUCUGGACCACGUGCCUCUUGUGCAAGCGCCUGGAGACCUAUAAACAGAGGCCGCUCCAGCCCCGGUAGCUCGUGGGCCUCGGCCGCCAGCUCCCCCCCUUUCUUCCUCACCACCCAGGACCCGCCACGAGGCGCCUCUGCUUUCGGCUCCUGGCCUCCUGCAUCCUCUUCGCUCAGUUUGCCUCAGCCUACGUCCAGGCCAGACAGAAAACCUCGCAAUGCUUCCAGAACGGGGCCCAGUAUAAAUGUUAUUGCGCGAUACACCGGACACCCGCCAGCUCCUGUUUCGGUGGAAGAAAGAACUGCUGCGAGGGCCGAUGAGGGCCCGGAGGACGGGAACCCGGAGAAUGAAACAGAGCAACUACUUUAACUCUGACUCCCCAGGUGCCCUGCAGGUGACUGUGCACCUGAGG